rnacentral:rRNA from 1 species
GUCUAUGGCCAUGCCACCCUGAACAAGCCCGAUGUCUGAUCUCAGAAGCUAAGCAGGAUCGGACUUGGUUAGUACUUGGAUGGGAGACCACCUAGGAAGACCAGGUGCUAUAGGCA